ensembl:lncRNA
AGAUGCAGAGCACCUGAGGAACAGGUGGAGAAGCAGGGCUUAAAUAGCCUGCUUCUCCACUCAUUCUGGGCUCUCCCAACCCUGGAGCUCCUGUACGGAGUCCGGUCCUCGUGGGUGAAGGAUUCCAACCACGGGGGGGGUAUAGGACCGUCGAUUCCUCCCAGGUCUAUCAUGGAUAUUUAACUGCAGUUCUGUGAGUAUCCCAACAUAACCAUGAAGAUGAACUGCAAACUGUAAGUCAUUCAUUUCUCAUUACUCUUGGGCACAUUGAUGUAUUUUGGCUUCCUAGUGAGUUAACCCGGUACCUGAAGGUUGAUCCGAGUAGCAAGGAUGUUUUAUUGGUUCAUGGGUUACUUAGGUGUUUGGUUUAUGUUGGUUUUAAUGGUUUGUUAAAAUGGUUACAGGCUCCAAGUUAUUGUUGUAAUGGGUUGGGUUCUGAUAUCUUCAGUCUUCUUUCCAGUUACUCUCCUGAGCUCUGCAUCUUCAUCCCAUGAGUGUUGCUUCACUGAUGAGGUCGUGGUCUGAGUGAGCAGAGGUGCAUACUGGGAUACAGAGCUGUCUGAAGUCUACAUGUCUGUAGACACGCCCCCUCAGGGGAAACCGAGUGUUUGAGAAACCGUUGUGAAGUCAGUUACAUGGACUGCAAUGUUCUUUAAAAUGGAGACAGGGAUUCAGAAGGAGAAACACCAGGGGGAGAUGGGGGGCUCCUCAUCUCAACGACUAAAACACAACUUCAGUCUCACACAGAGAACCAUGGAACACAUUCAACAGUCCCCUCCAGGCAUCGUGACUCCUCAGGAGCAGUUUCAUUACCAAGAAGGUCUUAUUUGGGGCCAUCCCCAGAUGGAUCCUGCUCCUCAAGAGCCAGCCCCCUCCACUGGGUGGUCUACUGAACAGAUGACCUCCUUCCUGCCCUCAGGCUGACUAAAGCUAAACCGUUUGCAGCUGUGAAGGCCCCUCAUUCAGGAAACCACUGGACUACAAAGACAUGACUUCAGAGACGUUGAAUCAACCUGUGACACAUUUUGGAGACGCCAAGUGUAAUCCAUCACCAAUGUGGGACGCCACUGAAGAAUGGUGUACAUAAUUUAUUUCUCUGGAGACAUUGGUUGUUCUGUUCUGGGUGCCCUGCAAGGAGAGCUGGGGUUGGAUGAUGGAACGUUAUUUGGCAUGAGGUUUUUACCCUGCAAGAUUUGUUUGGCCUUUUAUGGCUCAGUGGUGUGUGUGUUUGGGUUUGACAUGAGAUGGAAGAUUUUUGAGUAUCGCUAGGGUUCUACUGUGUCUGUUUCCCACUCCCACCUGGCAUGGGGUUCUACGUGCGUGUCCUGGGUUCUAUGCGUGUGUCCAGCUUGCUUUGAUCGUGAUAAUGUUCACACGAUGAUCUGUGUGAUUGGCUUGGGAUAUUGGACUGGUCAACUAAAUCAUACCUGAUGGACAGCCACAUGUUUACUUGAGGCCUCCAGUAGACGUGAAGAGCCCUGAGUGACGCUCCGUAGCGAUAUCCAACACACUGGGCAGGAAGGAGAGUAUCCAACUCGAGUGUAAAAGGAUGCAAGCGACGUGUUCAGAUCAGUGACUUCAAACUAGGACUUCACCAAUCAGGAUCAAUGGAGGAUGGACACCUAAAGGAAUUCCAAAAGGAGACUGACGUUGGAAAGGGACCUAAAUGGAUAUUCAAGAUGACCUUCAGACCUGUAAUGACACGGCUCUUCCUACCUGGCUGGAUUGAUGGAGAGCCCUGUGGAUCUUGUCUUGCUCUCAGUUGCACGUCUUCUCAGGCUGAACUGUACUUGUUUCGGACAGGACUAGCUGAACGAUUGGUUCCCUUAAAUCAGAACCAAUCUGGGAACUCCAACUAGUGCACUCUUCGAGCUGAAGUUGUGCUCUUCAGCUGAGGAGGUAAGGAAACCUUCACUGGGGCUUCAAGGUGUAAAAGGAGAAUGUUUCAAUGUGUUCCAUGGUACUCUGAUGAGGACUGUUGUUGUGUUCCACUGGCUGAGAGGAAGAACCCUCACAUCUUCCACUUGGCCUUUCUCCUCUGAGAAUCCUGGCGCCAUCUUGAAGGAUAUUCCAGCUCAUGUAACUGAUGUCACGACAGAUUCUCAGACACUUGGUUUCUCCUGAGGGGCGUGUCUAUAGAACUGAAGACUUCAGAAAGCACUUUAUCCCAGCAUGCAUCUCUGCUCACUCAGACCACACCCCCAUGAGUAGGAUGCAACACUCUUGGGAUGGAGAUGUAGUGUUUUAUAAGUAACAAGGGAGCAGACUAAGGGGAUUAGAACGUAAUGGAAUGUCAAGUCUAAAUCUUUAAACCAUGAAGAUGGUUGGAAAAGUCAGGAAUUUGGCUCAUUUUUAAUAUGGGCAGUCCUUUCACUCGGAUGCUCACUUGAAAUGUACAUGCGUUGGCUGGCUGGCAUGAUUUGCUGUUGGUGAUGAGGCGGUCAGGGUGACGUUGCAGGGCUAUGGUCGGCUCUCUGUGAGCUCAACGUUUAGAUUUUCUCUGGUUUGUACCCUGAAUAAUCUAGAUAAUUGUAAAAUGUAGACACGGUUUUGCAUUGAAUGAUUCCAGGAUUUUAGGUGUAAAGUUGUUGUACAUGGUAGUUUGGUUCUUCGUAUGGUUUUGAGUGAUUAUAACUUGUACACACUGGGUGCAUAAUAAUGUAAUGUUACACUGAAUAGUAUUAAUGACCAACAGCAACAAACAGAUCUCCUCAAGGUAAGUCUGUUGGCUGUAUUUUAAUGAAGACCAUCGCUGGACUUCAGGAUCUUCCUCCGUUCAGCUCAAGGUGAGGCGCUGGUUACGUUUUUUUCUUUGGUUGGUUCCGGCUGGAAUGUUCGGAUUCCAGUCGGACGGUUUGUGCUUCCCGCCGUGGAAGGUUCUGAGUGCGGUCCCUUGAUUUAGUCCCAAUGGUUAGCAUAGAAAGUUGUAGUCUUGACAACCAUAAGAACACUAACACGAAUUUCGUACAAUAUGUUAAUUUUCGAUGGUUGCGCCGUACUUUUAACCACGUUGACGGGACUCUCGCUGCGUACAAAACGGCGUUCUACUUGCGGCCCAAUUUUUGGUGAAGGCUGAAAAUCAUUUCAAGGUGGAAGACAAUUUGACAUUUCUUCAAAGGAACCCAGCACCUGAAUAUGAGUUGAGUAAAUUUGAUUUAAUAUUGAUACUGCUUAGUGUUCAUUGUUACUUCACUGUUACUUGCUGAUAUAAACCUCCUGUUGUAGCUCAAAGGUGAGGCUGAGAGGCUUGGGACCGGAGGCUUGUGGUGCCAGGAUGGACCGGAGACUGAGGCUGGAGAUCAGGGGCCUGCAGCACCGGACCAGAGGACCAGGAAUCCAUGGCUGAAGGAGCUGAUGGAGGCCCUGCCUGGUGGAGGAGCCAUGCUGAAAGCCCUGCCUGGUGGAGGAGCUGACGGAGGCCCUGCCUGGUGGAGGAUGUCUGUAAUGGGGACUCUGGUUUGGCGGAGAGCUGAUGGAGGAGCUGAUGGAGGAGCUGAGUCGCUGGAGGACGACUAGGAAUCGACCAACAAGGAUUCCUCAACGUGUUUCUGGAGCGGAGGCGAGCUGAUGGGGGAGCCGUGAAUCUGGAGGAUGACGUCACUCUACCAACAAGGAUUAUAAGAUUGUAUUAACCUGUAUCAACAAAGUGGAAAUAAAGGGCUUAAAAUUAAGACAAACUACAAGUUUGUUACCAGACGUUGGGACCAGACUUGCGCUUUUUGUUUCAGACCAGGACUCUGGCUGAGGAGGGCUGAUGGAGGAGCGGCGCUGAAGGCCCUGCCUGGUGGAGGAGCUGAUGGAGGCCCUGCCUGGUGGAGGAGCCAUGCUGAAGGCCCUGCCUGGUGGAGGAUGUCUGUCGUGGGGUAGAUGGAGCCUGACUCUGAAGUGACCAUCACACACUCUGCCACUUCUCGUAGAAUACUGCUACCACAAACCACCGGCGUUCGUACCAUAUAUACCAGACGACUACAUCUGUUUUACCACAUGUUGCAGCAAGCCUUCCGCUGUUUGUUCAAGACCAGGAGUCUGUCUGAGGAGAGCUGCUGGAGGAGCUGUGACGCUGGAGGACGACUAGGAAUCGACCAACAAGGAUUCCUCAACGUGUUUCUGGAGCGGAGGCGAGCUGAUGGGGGAGCCGUGAAUCUGGAGGAUGACGUCACUCUACCAACAAGGAUUACCAGGACUCUGGCUGAGGAGAGCUGAUGGAGGAGCCAUAAAACCAGGAAUCUGGAGGACUGACGGAGAAGCCGUACAUCUGGAAGGCAAAUCCUGAGGACGAUCAGGACUCUACCAUCAAGGAUUCCUCACACACCUGAGCUGAACCUCACCUGAUCCUGUUUGGUCGGGGGCAGACGCACUGAGCUGAACCCCACCUGAUCCGGACAUCGGGCUGGUCCCGUCUCCUCAGUUCAUCUGAGCCUCUUCCUCCAGAAGACAUGCUGAGCUCAGCGGUCUGAGGCUGAUGUAUCAAUGACCUCAAGUGGGAGUGAUCUUCUUGACCCCACAUGUAGCCGUGUGCUUCCACAUACCUUUCCCUCACGUCUGUCACUAACCUCAUUACUUCACUACUCUCUACUCCUUCUCCUUCUUCUUCCUUCUCCGUUGUUCGAACCUUUACUCUGAAGGAGUGUCUCCUUGAACCUUUACACUGAAGGAGCGUCUUCCUGUCCUCAGAGGGUUCAGCGUUAGGGUUGAGAGUCAGGGUUUAGAGUCAGGGACAGAGCUGGUCAGGGAGGGCUGGUUUUACAUAAACCUUUUCACUUGCUUUCUGAAUGGUGGUGACAUUUUGAAAAGAUUAAUUUGGAAAAAUGUUUUCCUCUUUUUUUGCUUUACAAAAAUAUGUAUUAAACUUCUGUGUUUGUAACCAGACCAGGUAUCCAUGGCUGAAGGAGCUGAUGGUGGAGCCGUGCUGAAAGAGCGGAUGGAGGAGCCGGGCUGACGGCCCUGCCUGGUGGAGGAGCCGUGCUGACGGCCCUGCCUGGUGGAGGAGCCGUGCUGACGGCCCUGCCUGGUGGAGGAGCCGUGCUGACGGCCCUGCCUGGUGGAGGAGCCGUGCUGACGGCCCUGCCUGGUGGAGGAGCCGUGCUGACGGCCCUGCCUGGUGGAGGAGCCGUGCUGACGGCCCUGCCUGGUGGAGGAUGUCUGUCGUGGGACCAGGACUCUGUCUGAGGAGAGCAGAUGGAGGAGCUGAGAUGCUGGAGGACAACUAGGAAUCGACCAACAAGGAUUCUUCAACGUGUUUCUGGAGCGGAGGCCAGCUGGUAGGGGAGCCGUGAAUCUGGAGGAUGACAUCACUCUACCAACAAGGAUUACUUUAGGGCCAGACUCGCGCUGUUUGUUCCAGACCAGGACUCUGACUGAGGAGAGCUGAUGGAGGAGCCAAGACUCUGGAGGACGACAUCACUCUACCAACCAGGAUCCUCAGACGAAUUACGUUUGUAACCAGACCAGGAAUCUGGAGGACUGAUGGAGAAGCCGUACAUCUGGAAGGCAAAUCCUGAGGACCAGCAGGACUCUACCAUCAAGGAUUCCUCAUAAGUUUGCAUUAUCUGGACAAAGUGGCCUAGACACACCUGAGCUGAACCUCACCUGAUCCUGUUUGGUCGGGGGUAGACACACCUGAGCUAAACCCACCCUGAUCCUGACAUCCUGCUGGUCCCGUCUCCUCAGUUCUCCUGAGCCUCGUCCUCCAGAAGACCUGCUGAGCUCAGCAGUCUGAGGCUGAUGGAUCAAUGACCUCCAGUGGGAGGGAUCUUCUUGACCCCACUUGUAACCGUGUGCUUCCGCACGCCUUUCCCUCACAUCUGUCACUAACCUCACUACUUCACUACUCUACUGCUUCCUCUUUUCUUCCUUCUCUGUGGUUUAAACCUUUUACACUGAAGGCGCGUCUUCCUGCCCUCAGAGGGUUCAGCGUUAGGGUUGAGAGUCAGGGUUUAGAGUCAGGGACAGAGCUGGUCAGGGAGGACUGCUUUUACACAAACCUCUUGACUUGCUUUCGGAAUUGUGGUGACAUUUUGAAAAGAUUCAUUUGGUAAAAUCUUUUCCUCUGCUUCCCUUUACAAAAUUGUAUCAAACUUCUGUCAAGUGUUUUUGUUUAAAUAUUAAAAUCCCACAUUGACUUCUACAUGUUUGGUGCGGUUCAUUUAUUUGUCCUUUUAACUUGGUUAAUGUCAAGCUAAACUCCUGCAAUACAUUAAUA